CACCGAACACAUUUCCUCUACUGUUACAUUUUUACUAGUUCUGUUAUUUACAUAGUUAACAUGAAAUGGCAGCCCAUCUUACUUCAUAAUGUGUUAUGAAACGGGAAAAAGUGUAGGGCAAAACUUUUAUCCAUUGGACAAUUGAUUGUUUUUUGGAAGAUCUCUGUGGCUGUGUUCAGAAUCAAAUGCUAGCAUACUGAAUACAACACGGUAUAUACUACAUACAGCUUACAUUUUAAAAAAAAAAAAUAGUUCAUGAAACAGUAAGCAUAAUUCCUCUAUAAACUUUUUAAACAGUGGUAUGGUACAAUGUAAUAAUAUGACCUCAUCAAAAUACAAUAGAGCAGAGGUCUUCAACCCUGCUCCUGGGGACCCACUGUCCUGCAAAGUUUAUUUCCAACCUGUUUCAGCACACCUGCCUGUGUAUUUUCAAGCAGUCUUGAGGACUUUGAUUAGCUGCUUCAGGUGUGUUUGAUUAGGGUUGUAGCUAAACUCUUCAGGACAGUGGGUCCCCAGGAACAGGGUUGAAGACCUAUGCAAUAGAGUGUUCCAGAAGCUCAAACAGUAAAGGCUGUAUGUAUAUAUAUAUUUUUGCAUUUCUAAUCCAAUUUGGUGUUAAAAAUGCUCUACCUUUUUGACAGUCUAUUAAUAAAAUAAUAUCAAGAAAGAGCUUAAAAUCACAACUGAUAUUACUUGCAGUUGGCAUCCGUUACUUUGAGAUACAGUAUUGUGGGAUACAAUAUUCUGUGUUGUAUAAAGAACAUUUAAACACUUUGUAAGAGUAAGCAAUAGUAGGAGUAGUAUGGUAGUGUGCUGUUCUAACGGAUGGUUAAAGAGGCAGAGUUAAAAAAAAAUAAGAGUGUUUGAUGAUGUCAGCUGAAAAGGAAAGUCGUUUCAGAGACGGAGCAAGUUGAUUUGCCAAUUGAUUAGGAUGACAAACUUUCACAAAAAGAAUGUAUUAAGAAAGUAAAUAAGACCAAUUUUUUGUUUUUCAUUUUUUUAAACCUAAUCAAAUCAAUUUUUAUAAUACAGAACUCUCUUGAAGGUUGAUAUUAAUAUACUAAUGAAAAGUUAAAAAUCUCAAAUGAUUGUCUCUCUCUUCUCUUGUUUCAGCAGUGCUGUACUUUCUCUAGACACGUCUGUUUAGCGGUUACGCCUGGUUAAGCACACACACGCACACACACACACACACAGGCUGUCUUACACGCACUUGCCAUGUCUGACCCGCAGGUCAUGCUGAAGUGACUUUGUGCCCCGUUUGUAACUGGGCCUCUUUGAAAGUGGGCCUCGCAUUCCUGCUCCGUCAGACGGGGGAUGUCCUGCUUAUUGCCAGCGAGUAGGAAGUUUCUGCUGUUAGGGAUUAUGUGCCGUUUCCUCGCCCAGAAGCUUUCGGCUUGUCCCCUCCCACUCUUGAAAAAGCAGCGACUCCACAAACUAGAAAACGGUGCGAACUAAAUACCUGCCUCUCUGACCACCAGCCUCAGCCUUUCAGCCCCGCUCGUCUGCGCUUGUGCGAUUGCUGGGAGGAGGCAGCCGCGUUCCGUCUGCUUUUGUGUGGUUGUACAGAAGUGCUGCGGUUGGGAGGAGGAGGAGGAGGAGGUGGUGGAGGGGAACAGCUGCUCCCCACACAGAAGCCGGUUUCCCAGCCUGACAGGCAGCGAGAGGCAGCCAGUGCCGGGGCUGUUUUCCCGGGGGCCCUCGGGUUGGUUCACCAGCCUCCGCAGCUCCAGCUAGGAGGAAAAUUUUUAUGGCGGCGGAGAAACACGAAAUGGACCAGAGCAAGUAGGAUUCUUUCCUUCACAAGGCCAGGCGCUCGUGUUCUCCCACAGUAAUCAGGAGCAGAUAUGGAUACAUCUCCACUGAAACUCGACCAGGUUUCUCUCAGCCGAUGGGACUCCAGUGGACCCCGCGGCUGCUCUGAGCGUCUUCCUCCAGUCAGAGCUUUUAACCCGUCGGAUGGCAGUUAGCGGUGGCCGCAGGUGCUCCCGUUACCUGCACGAAAAGCUGCGUGAGCACCCCAGCAUUCCUCAAACACUCACACACACACACACAAUCCAGACAUCUUUUUGUUCUUCAACAUACAGCGAGCUCUGGCAGAGAUAUAAACUUGUCUGUAUCCUAAAAUAUACCGUCUCUCUCUCACUAAAAAAAACAAAACAAUCCCUGUUGUGAAUGAGUGUCCAAAAUAAUACAGAUUUAAUUAAUAUCAUUUCAUAUAAUACUAUAAUAUAAUUUACGGAUAUAAUUAAUGGUUUUAAUUGCAUGAAUUUUCUUCUUUUUAGGUGCAGAUGUUAUUUUCAGCGUGCAGGUAACUUGCAGAUUAACUUGAUAUUGUUAUACUCAUUCUUACUAUUUAUUAGGAUAUGCCAUAAAAUAAUACCAUUAUUCAAAACAUGCUCAUUUUCAUUAUAUUUGCCUUAUUUUACCUUUAUAAAAACAAGAUAAAUGUACUUAUAAGCAGACAUUUCACCAAAGUUAUCUUUGAGUUGUUGGCAAUUUUCAAUAUAAUUAAAUGUUUUAUCUUAUAUGUAUGUGUGUGUGUGUGUGUAUUUGUUUCUUCAGUUUUUUGCAGUAAGUUUAUAUUUUUACUGGAAAACAAGAUGAAUGUACUGAUUAAAAAUAAAUAUUUUUCUGUUCUUUUUUCCUCAAUCUCAAACCCUUAAUAUUUUCCCACAGUGUGUACUGCAGGAAUGAAGCAGUAUGUGUGUAUAAGUUUGCAGUAGAAGUUUCAGCAGGUGAGUCUGACACACAAAUACACUCCCGCAUUAAAGGAAGUGGAGAAGAGACAGAUCCUUUGACUUUCUGGUUUCACACACUGUCCAGUGACACACACACACACACACUCACACGCUCAGACCACAGCUGCCCAUUAGUCUGUUAAUCUCUUGUAUAUUUGUAUUUUAAAAUGCUGUAAAUGUUUAAGACUGUCUAAUAAAUUGUUUAUAUUACUGUA